UGAGGAAUAUUGGUCAAUGGGCGAGAGCCUGAACCAGCCAUGCCGCGUGCAGGAUGGCGGCUCUAUGAGUUGUAAACUGCUUUUGUAUGGGAGCAAUAAGCUCUACGCGUAGAGUGAUGAGAGUACCAUACGAAUAAGCUCCGGCUAACUACGUGCCAGCAGCCGCGGUAAUACGUAGGGAGCAAGCGUUAUCCGGAAUUAUUGGGUGUAAAGGGUGCGUAGACGGGAAUACAAGUUAGUUGUGAAAGCCCUCGGCUCAACCGAGGAACUGCAACUAAAACUAUAUUUCUUGAGUGUUGGAGAGGAAAGUGGAAUUCCUAGUGUAGCGGUGAAAUGCGUAGAUAUUAGGAGGAACACCAGUGGCGAAGGCGACUUUCUGGACAAUAACUGACGUUGAGGCACGAAAGUGUGGGGAGCAAACA
rnacentral:rRNA from 1 species